GUAAAUAAUUAUGAAAACAUAAGCAACAUAAAUACAGUCGCAUGCAAUAAUAACAAGCAGUAACUACCAUACUAACAACCAUAUGGGGACAUAAGCUAAAACACUAAUCACCUAUGGGUAACCCUACUAUCCCACACCCAACAACAUCCCGCGCCUUUUUCCCAUCAGCAUCCCGCGCCUUUUUCCCUUUUCACCUAGUCUCCUGGACGCACGCUAUGUUAACCCUUUUCUGCUGAAGAACCUUCGCCAACCACACCAACCGAUAUGGGGUACAGUGGCACACACACGCACUAUAUCGAAAAACGCAAAUGUAGCAAACUAGAUAACAACAGAAUAGACCACACUCGGAAUGCUAGCUAAAAUACGUAAAAAGGUGCACAAAGUAAACAAGUGAGCGGGAGGUACCAACUCCCGGUGGAAAAACCUGAAAAUGUGCUUUGAUGCGCCCAAGUUUUCCUGAAGCUUAGCAGAAUGUGCAGCUCUAUUGCGUCCUGCCGCGAGUCUGAACGAGAGUUGCCGGAGAUCCUCNNNNNNNNNNNNNNNNNNNNNNNNNNNNNNNNNNNNNNNNNNNNAACGCAAAUGUAGCAAACUAGAUAACAACAGAAUAGACCACACUCGGAAUGCUAGCUAAAAUACGUAAAAAGGUGCACAAAAUAAACAAGAGAGCGGGAUGUACCAACUCCCGGUGGAAAAACCUGGAAAUGUGCUUUGCUGCGCCCGAGUUUUCCUGAAUCUUAGCAAAAUGCGCGGCUCUAUUGCGUCCUGCCGCGAGUCUGAACGAGAGUUUGAAUGAUAGCUGUCGGAGAUCCUCGCCGGUGAAAUAUGUACCUGUCCAAGAAAACAAAAUACACCCACAAAAGCAGAGGAGAGAAUAAAAAGGAAAAGUGCAAGGGUUUCAAGAAAAAUUUCCGGCGAAAACAAAAAUCCCAGACCUCUGAAAAGCAAGAAUUCAAAAAUUCUAGAAAACUCGAAACAAAACAAGCUUUAGAUAGCCAAAUAAAGGCUAAAUCGGACAGACUUGUGCAGUAUAUUAGUAGGUUAAAGAUUGUGUUGAAGUUAUUUUCUUAUAAAAACAGUAAAAGCUUAUUAUUGUCAAAACUUUAAAGUAAUUCGCCAAAUCUGAAAAUAGUUGCGCAAAAAAAUACAGAAAAAUACCGAAAAAAUACAGAAAAAAAUACUGAAAGCAGUUGCGUAAAAAAUACAGCAAAAAAAUACAGAAAAAUAUCGAAAAAAUACAGAACAAAAAUACAGAAAAAAAUACAGAAAUUAUAUUUGCUACAGUAAUAUCGCGAAAUAAAAAUUAAGAUCUUGAUCAAUUGGUUAUAGAUUUGGGGAUAAAAUCAGUUGGGGUUUGUGCGCAAUGGGAAGAUACUUUUUUUGACACCAAGUUUUCGAAAAUCCACCACCAGACACCGGAGUUAUGGCCGGAAAAUGGUGACGGAAAUACUAUUCACAAAGAGGGAGAAAAGGAUUUACUUACUUGUUGGUGUCGCCCACCGGACGCCGGAGUUAUGGCCGGAAAAUGGUGAAGAAAAUACUAUUCACAGAGAAAAAGAGAGUGAAAGGAGAGGGAUAAGAGAGAGAACUUACUUGGAGGGGAGAGGGGGUUGGGGAAAAGUUUACGUUGGAGAGGAGAGAGAGAAGACAGCCAACGUUCAAACAGAAUACCCAAGAAGUAGAGUUCACA
rnacentral:lncRNA from 1 species